ACUCCAGGAGGUGGAGAGAAACUAAAGCGCUACAGAAGGGAGGUGAAGAAGAGGAAGAGCUUCAUCCUGCACAGACCCUCCCCCAGACAUGCGAGAGACCAAAGAAAUAGGAAAUAGCAUGAAGUCUGUCCAAGAGGCUACCACAAUUUCUCUACAUCUUGCAAUGAAAUAAUUCGCUAAAUGAUGAAGUUGAUAUACCUGCAGAAAAGGCCAUGAAGGCAUCCCUGUUGACGAAUCGUCACUGCUCAUCCAGAAAGUGGGAGGGGUUAAAGGAGUGGAGGCUCUCCCAUUCGCUAUUGUCCUGUAGGACGGACAUCAAUAAAGGAAUCACAGACGCCACCUGCAGUGAGAGUGAAGCAUAGGACACUUAUAUUCAGAGUAAAAGUAAUGAAACUUUGUUUAAUAAAUGAAGUGCACACUUAAAAAGGAGUGGAUUGCAAUAAUUUCAGGCAGAAUUAUUUCAAACAUCUGAUUUAGACAUCCACGUAUCUGACCUUUUUGAUGAAGUAUUCCUGGAAGGUGACAUCUCGGCUGGUGGUGUGAGGGAUGGACAUGGGUACAAUGUUGGGCAGUCUCUGGGUCUCAUGGAUCACUGCAUCAGUGAAGCGGAGGUUCUUCUUGUCCUCUUCCAAGGGCUGACGACUUCCUGUAACCCUGCUGAUCUCCUCCUGGAUCCGGUCUGAGACAGAAAGGAGGGAGGUAUUGGAGUUACUACAGUGGAAGUUAAACCUUAGUCAACCUUUAACCUUGAUUAACCCACAAAUCCAAAUCUAGGUUUAAGUUGGCCAUUUGCCAAUGUUUACAACUUGUAACACCAGGAGUGCUUUAAUGUUUAGUCUCUGUCUGUGUGUGUGUUUAUAUAAAUUCUUAACCUGUAUGUGGGGGUACUUGGCCAUUAGCAGCAGACCCCAGCUCAGGGUCGUCCCGGUGGUGUCAGUACCAGCACCAAAUAGGUUGGUGACAGAAGAUAUCAGGUUGUUUUCAUGAUAGUGAGACUCCAUUUGCCUGAUUGCUUACAUACACAAACACAGGUCAUGUUUCAGUAAACAAGAACAGCUACCACCGGACUCUCCUAGUUAUUCAUUCCAAGACAUUACAUGUUUUUAACUGUAAUAAGUCUUCAUACCUCCAGGGUCUGCUUUCGGACGAGGAACGAGUCCACAAAGCCUCCCCACAUCUGAGGGUUCAGUCUCCUUCAGUCCCCUCACCAGCUCCCCCAUCUCCUUCUUCUUGAUGAAAUUUUUCAUGACAAGCAUCCUGGUCUUCAACAAUGGGCCGAGCCAUGAAAACAUGUUGUACAACUAUUUCCCCAUCAACAAAAAUGCCCAGACUCAUCUCAGACCCGGCUCACAGCACACAGCUGGUGAGGUGAAGGGUGGAGGGUGAACCCCACGGAUGGUGUGAGGUCCAGAUCAUCCUCUGUUACUCCAGGAGGAGGAGAGAAACGAAAGCGCUGCAGGAGGGAGGUGAAGAAGAGGAAGAGCGCCAUCCUGGCCAGACCCUCCCCCAGACACACCCUACGACCUGGAAGAAGAUAAAAUGAGAGUACCAUAGAAGGAUUCACUUACCCAGUCAGUAUGGAUACAGAAACAGUGGACCUCACCUGCAGAGAAGGGCAUGAAGGCAUCCCU